CAGAAUUGAACGGUUAUUACAAUACGAAAGCAUUAAAUAUACAUUUACCCCUGCACAUCAACGACAGCCAGGCAAAUCGUUUCCCCUAUUGGACUUCAAUAGUCACAGCUGCAAACGUAAAGAGACUACAUUACAAUCGUUUUGUAGAUGCCAUUAUCAAGCAAGGAAAAAACAGCACGGCAUAGAGAUCGUUUAAAAAAUGAUCCAGUUGCAAGGGCAGAGUACCUUGCCAAAAGAAAAGCAAGUUACCAAAAAAGGAAGAAUGAGGGGAAAAUACUGAAAACACCAGUAAGUCAGCUCUCCAAGGCACAACAAGAAAAAACAAGGCAGCAGUGGAGGAGCUACUGUGGUGGAAGUUACCUUAAUUUCCCCCAGUCGGUCUCCGCUUGCAUCUCUGCUUGCCUGAGGGACAUCCAGAGCUGGAUGGAUAACCACCAU